rnacentral:rRNA from 1 species
CACAUGACUCUCGGCAACGGAUAUCUCGGCUCUCGCAUCGAUGAAGAACGUAGCAAAAUGCGAUACCUGGUGUGAAUUGCAGAAUCCCGCGAACCAUCGAGUUUUUGAACGCAAGUUGCGCCCGAGGCCUUCUGGCCGAGGGCACGUCUGCUUGGGCGUCACGC